UACGGAGGGUGCAGGCAUUAAUCGGAUUUAUUGGGCGUAAAGGGCGCGUAGGCUGGUUUGUAAGUCAGAUGUGAAAUCCCGGGGCUCAACCCCGGAACAGCAUUUGAAACUGCAUACCUAGAGGGUAGGCGGAGAAAACGGAAUUCCACAAGUAGCGGUGAAAUGCGUAGAUAUGUGGAAGAACACCGGUGGCGAAGGCGGUUUUCUAGCUUAAACCUGACGCUGAGGCGCGAAAGCAAGGGGAUCAAACAGG
rnacentral:rRNA from 1 species